CAGUCGCCACGGUAAUACGGAGGGUGCAAGCGUUAAUCGGAAUUACUGGGCGUAAAGCGUGCGUAGGCGGUUCGUUAAGUCUGUUGUGAAAGCCCCGGGCUCAACCUGGGAAUGGCAAUGGAUACUGGCGAGCUAGAGUGUGUCAGAGGAUGGUGGAAUUCCCGGUGUAGCGGUGAAGUGCGUAGAGAUCGGGAGGAACAUCAGUGGCGAAGGCGGCCAUCUGGGACAACACUGACGCUGAGGCACGAAAGCGUGGGGAGCAAACAGGAUUAGAUACCCGUGUAGUCCCUGUCUCUUAUAC
rnacentral:rRNA from 1 species